AUGGGAGACCUCCACCUACGACUGAACCAGACACAGAGGGUCCGCCUCGAGGCCGCACUCCACGAGCUCCAGGCCCUCGCCCCCGCCGCCGCCGCCGUCACCUUCGCCGACAACAUCCCCGUCAACCCCGAGGACACCAUCCUCAAGGGGCAUGGCACGUCUGAUCAGGACGGGGAGGUUGUGGCGACGGUGUGCGGCGUGGUGGAGCGGGUCCAGAAUCUCGUCUGCGUGAGGACGCUCCGGGCAAGGUAUAAGCCACAGAAAGGGGAUAUCAUUAUUGGCCGUGUCAGUGAGAUUGCUUCUAAGCGCUGGAGGUUGGAGACAAACUUUAGCCAAGGUGCUGUUCUGAUGCUUUCUUCUAUGAAUUUGCCUGAUGGAAUCCAGAGACGGAGAACUGAUGUUGAUGAACUUAAUAUGCGGAGUAUACUUGAAGAAAAUGACCUUGUCUGUGCUGAAGUUUGUCAUAUCCAACACGAUGGAUCUCUUGACCUACAGCCAAGGAGUCAGAAAUAUGGAAAGCUUCAGAGGGGUCAGUUGCUCACAGUACCUGCCUAUUUGGUAAAACGGCGAAAGCAGCAUUUCCAUCAUCUUGAGCAAUAUGAUGCCGAUUUGAUUCUCGGUUGCAAUGGAUUCGUCUGGGUAGGCGAGCAUGCCGUGGUGGAUGAAGAGACUAAUUCGAACGAAGAUCAACAUAAGUUGAGCAUGGAAGUGGAGGCUUUUACCCCACUAGAAACUAGAAGGCACAUUUGCCGGCUUGCCAAUGCCGUGCGCGUGCUUUCAGCCCUUGGAUUCACCCUUACUGUCGAACUGAUAAUCCAAACCGCUGAAGCAGGUCUAUCAUCAGACGUCGAGAUAAACAACAUGCUCGGAGCUGAAUUUUAUGUCCAGACAGCGGAGAGAGAGGCCAAGCGUCGAGCCGAUCUCUCAAGAAGGAUGAACGGGCCAAGGUAA
rnacentral:rRNA from 1 species